AGCGAACGCUGGCGGCAGGCCUAACACAUGCAAGUCGAACGAACCUUUCGGGGUUAGUGGCGGACGGGUGAGUAACACGUGGGAACGUGCCUUUAGGUUCGGAAUAACUCAGGGAAACUUGUGCUAAUACCGAAUGUGCCCUUCGGGGGAAAGAUUUAUCGCCUUUAGAGCGGCCCGCGUCUGAUUAGCUAGUUGGUUGAGGUAAUGGCUCACCAAGGCGACGAUCAGUAGCUGGUCUGAGAGGAUGAUCAGCCACAUUGGGACUGAGACACGGCCCAAACUCCUAAGGGAGGCAGCAGUGGGGAAUCUUGCGCAAUGGGCGAAAGCCUGACGCAGCCAUGCCGCGUGAAUGAUGAAGGUCUUAGGAUUGUAAAAUUCUUUAACCGGGGACGAUAAUGACGGUACCCGGAGAAGAAGCCCCGGCUAACUUCGUG
rnacentral:rRNA from 1 species